rnacentral:rRNA from 1 species
UACGUAGGGUGCAAGCGUUGUCCGGAAUUAUUGGGCGUAAAGAGCUCGUAGGCGGUCUGUCGCGUCGGCUGUGAAAACCUGGGGCUUAACUCCGGGCCUGCAGCCGAUACGGGCAGACUAGAGUUCGGCAGUGGAGACUGGAAUUCCUGGUGUAGCGGUGAAAUGCGCAGAUAUCAGGAGGAACACCGGUGGCGAAGGCGGGUCUCUGGGCCGAAACUGACGCUGAGGAGCGAAAGCGUGGGGAGCAAACAGG